GAAGUGCGAAAUAGAGGCGCCGGUGUGUGAGACUUUAAGCUGAUCCCCUUCUCAAAUCGAGUGAUGAUCAGAGAGAUCGAUGGAGGUUUUUUAUCAGAGAAGAAGAGACUGCUGCUGUAACUAUCAAUUGAAGUAUCAGAAGAAGAAAUUAGGGUUUUUCCCGAUUUGGAGUUAGGGUUUUUUGAGAUGAUAAUGUGAAAUGGGUAUUGGAUGUUAGUUCGAUGGAUUUAAGAGAUUGAUGCUGUUACUGUUAAACAGAUGAAGAUUGAAUUAGGGUUACAGCAGAUUGAAGAACUGAGUUAUGAUGUUUGUGUUUUGAUAUUUCUGGUGAUGCUGUUAUUGUGUGGAUUUGAUUUUUCCACAAAGAGGAUGUGACAGAUAGAAAAGAGGAUUGAAGCAGAGAUUGAGGGUUUGAGUUGAUGUUUUGAUUGAUUCGAAAUGGAAGAAGCAGUUGGUGGUAUUUGUUGCUGGAAUUACAGAAUUGAGCAAGGGAACGAUUUUGUACAGAAUUGGUGGUCUGAGUUGUUAAAGGAAGCUACAUCUACAGGUGAUGUUGCAGGUACAUGGGACUGAGAUGAAGCUAAGAAUGAAUGUGAUGGACUGUUGUGCAGCUAAGCAACUGCAAUGGAGCAGCAAGACUAAGCUGGUGAUGCAAAUGCCAUGAAUGAGAUGAUAAGAGAUGACAUUGCAGGUUAUAGAGAUGGAAGUUGGUGCUGCUAGGUGCAGCUGAAGAUGAUCAUGAACUCAAGUUUCCAUGGCUGCUACUUUUGGAGAUUUGAGGAGAUAAUGGAGUCUGUGAAUAAUGGGUUGAGAUGGAUUUUGAAUCUAGCAGAAUGGGUCUGUUGUGGUGUUUGAUCUUUAAUGAAGUUGCAGGUGGUUGAAGCUGUAGUUCAGUUACUGGUGAUUCUUAAAGUGAAGGCACAAGGAGUAGCAGUUGGUGAUGAGGCACAUGUGAAGCAGUGGCAUAAAUGGGUUUCUGCAGUUAGGUUCAGGUUGCGCAACUGGUGAUUCUAUUAGCUGUGUAACACGGAUGCGAAUAACUUAAACUGAAGCCUUUAAGCAAAUAAGGAAGAUGAUUUCUGAUUGUUGCAGGUGAACUGAAGAGAUGAUUGUGCAAUGCAGAAAACGAGAGAGAAGAACUUGAGAUUGAAAUGGUGGAUUUGAGGUGCAGGGAGAUGGAAUUGCUGGGUGGUUGCUUGGCUGUAUAUAAUGGGGAUAGUUCAAGUUGUUGCUGUCAUUUAGGAAGGAGAAUGCUGAGGCUUACAACCUGCAAUAAGAUGGAAUUCAGUGAAGCUUUGAUCCUGCAUAGAACCUAGUGGUAUGAGUUGAUUUUCGAAAUCAGCUGAGCAUUUCAAGUUGUGAUUGUUAGAAGGGACUGGCAAGGGAGUAGAUCCAUAUGUAGUGGUUGUAAGAUGACGCUGCUUAUGUUUCCGAGCUGAAAUAUAGGUGCAGGGCAAGUCUGAACAUAUGAAUGAGUUAGAGUUGGCCGAUGGGGUUUGCAGAUGCAGGUUAAGCUGUUUCUGUUGCUAUUGAUACAGGAAUCAAAAGCCGUGGCUUCAUUAAGGUGGUGGUUAUGAAGUGUAGCUGAGAGAGUGAAGAUAUGAGUUGAGUUGAGAUGAGAACUGACAUGGAAGAAGAAAUGUUGCAGUUAAUGAUCAAGGAGGAAGCUGAGAAGCAGCAGCUAGUCAUGGAGAUUAUAGGAAAUUGCAGGAGCAACAAGGUGUUGGUGUUGGCUGGCGCUACUGAUGGAUGCAGUUAGAAUGAAUUGGUUGAACUGUGACUGAAUGAAUGAUGAUAGAUGAAUUUUUAGGUACAGAAUUGGCCUGGGAAUUGCCUGAAAACAUAGGAAACUUUGUCAUACUUUUAUCAUGCCGAGCCGACUCAGUGAUUCGCGAUCCAACUCACUGGACCCGGUUUGACACAGGGAAAGGCUUGGGCUUAUUUUGACUGGGCUUGGUUAUCAGAGACUUGCACUCGAGUUUUGGGAAUGAAAGGAGAUGGCAGUGCUAUAAAAGGGAGGUCGUUGGUUAUAUUCUGAGGGAUUAUCUCUUGUUCUACUUGGUUCUAGGGUUUAGAAACAUGAUAGGUUUUCUCUUCCUUGUUAUGAACUCCAUUAUGAUGUUUACCUAGUUUUCUCUUGGUUAAGGAAUAAGUUGGAAUUCCAAACAUGAUUUUUAUGCAAUAAAUUAGUUUUGUCUCCAUGCUUUAU